rnacentral:rRNA from 1 species
CCUACGGGAGGCAGCAGUAAGGAAUAUUGGUCAAUGGAGGGAACUCUGAACCAGCCAUACCGCGUGCAGGAUGACUGCCCUAUGGGUUGUAAACUGCUUUUGUCAGGGAAUAAACCUUUCCACGUGUGGGAAGCUGAAUGUACCUGAAGAAUAAGGAUCGGCUAACUCCGUGCCAGCAGCCGCGGUAAU